CCAUCUUCUUCCUCCUAACCCUACAUGCACUCCAACUUCAAACCUCCAUAUCUCCUUCAUUUCUUAACCAAAUUUAGUGAUCUUGGUGUCUAUGGAAAGAGGAGAGCAAGGGAUACACAUUGGUACUAGAAAAUUAGAGAAAAAUAGACAUCUUAAGGUACCUAAACUUGGAGUGACUAGAAGUCCAUUGUUUUACCGGAAGUCUGUCUUGCCAUAUACAGUCCGACUUCCGUGAACGCUGCAGUAGUACAUUGUGUGACCAGUCAUGACCUAGGAUAAUAUUAUAGUGUUGGAAAAUAUUUAUAAUUAUUGUUGUGUAUAAUAUGAAUAUUAUAAUUAUAACGAUGUUAGAUUUA